CAGUAGCCGCGGGAAUACAGAGGGUGCAAGCGUUAAUCGGAUUUACUGGGCGUAAAGGGCGCGUAGGUGGUUAUGUAAGUGAGAUGUGAAAUCCCCGGGCUCAACCUGGGGGCUGCGCUUGAUACUUGGUUGCUUGAGUGGGGAAGAGGGUCGUGGAAUUCCCAGUGUAGAGGUGAAAUUCGUAGAUAUUGGGAAGAACACCGGUGGCGAAGGCGGCGACCUGGUCCUUGACUGACGCUGAGGCGCGAAAGCGUGGGGAGCAAACAGGAUUAGAGACCCGCGUAGUCCCUGUCUCUUAUAC
rnacentral:rRNA from 1 species